rnacentral:rRNA from 1 species
AAUCAGCGCUGGCGGCGUGCCUAACACAUGCAAGUCGCACGAGAAAGUGGGGGCAACUCCAUGAGUAAAGUGGCGUACGGGUGAGUAACACGUGACUAACCUACCUUCGAGUGGGGAAUAACCUCGGGAAACCGGGGCUAAUACCGCAUAACAUCUAUGGAUCAAAGCAGCAAUGCGCUUGAAGAGGGGGUCGCGGCCGAUUAGCUAGUUGGCAGGGUAAUAGCCUACCAAGGCGACGAUCGGUAUCCGGCCUGAGAGGGCGCACGGACACACUGGAACUGAAACACGGUCCAGACUCCUACGGGAGGCAGCAGUGAGGAAUAUUGGUCAAUGGGCGUAAGCCUGAACCAGCCAUCCCGCGUGCAGGAAGAAGGCGCUAUGCGUUGUAAACUGCUUUUCCAGGGGAAGAAAACUUUCGUCGUGACGAGACUUGCCGGUACCCUGGGAAUAAGCAUCGGCUAACUCUGUGCCAGCAGCCGCGGUAAUACGGAGGAUGCAAG